UACAGAGGUCCCAAGCGUUGUUCGGAUUCAUUGGGCUUAAAGGGCGCGUAGGCGGGUUCUCAAGUCCGGGGUGAAAUCCCACAGCUCAACUGUGGAACUGCCUCGGAUACUGGGUGCCUCGAGGGUGGUAGGGGUAUGCGGAACUAUCGGUGGAGCGGUGAAAUGCGUUGAUAUCGAUAGGAACUCCGGUGGCGAAGGCGGCAUACUGGACCACAUCUGACGCUGAGGCGCGAAAGCCAGGGGAGCGAACGGG
rnacentral:rRNA from 1 species